rnacentral:rRNA from 1 species
CUGGCUCAGGAUGAACGCUAGCUACAGGCUUAACACAUGCAAGGUCGAGGGGCAGCAUUGGGAUAGCUUGCUAUUCAGAUGGCGACCGGCGCACGGGUGAGUAACGCGUAUCCAACCUUCCUGCCAGUAGGGAACAGCCCGGCGAAAGUCGGAUUAAUGCCCUAUGUUCUUCAAUGCGGACAUCUAAGUUGAAGGAAAGAUUCAUCGCUGGCAGAUGGGGAUGCGUCCGAUUAGCUUGCCGGCGGGGUAACGGCCCACCGGGGCGACGAUCGGUAGGGGUUCUGAGAGGAAGGUCCCCCACACUGGUACUGAGACACGGACCAGACUCCUACGGGAGGCAGCAGUGAGGAAUAUUGGUCAAUGGGCGUAAGCCUGAACCAGCCAAGUAGCGUGCAGGAUGACGGCCCUACGGGUUGUAAACUGCUUUUAUGCGGGGAUAAAGUGCGGCACGUGUGCCGCUUUGCAGGUACCGCAUGAAUAAGGACCGGCUAAUUCCGUGCCAGCAGCAGC